rnacentral:misc_RNA from 1 species
UCCCCGUUCACCGGGGCAGUCCCUCUAGAGUGCCCAACUUAAUGAUGGCAACAAGAGGCGUGGGUUGCGCUCGUUACGGGACUUAACCCAACACCUCACGGCACGAGCUGACGACAGCCAUGCACCACCUGCGCACAAGUCCCUUGCGGGAGGUUCUGGCUUUCACCAAAAUUUCCUGUGCAUGUCAAACCCAGGUAAGGUUCUUCGCGUUGCCUCGAAUUAAACCACACGCUCCGCUGCUUGUGCGGGCCCCCGCCUAUUCCUUUGAGUUUUAACCUUGCGGCCGUAGUCCCCAGGCGGUGAACUUAAUGCGUUAGCUGCGGCACUGAUCGGGUCAAUCCGACCAACACCUAGUUCACAACGUUUAGGGCGUGGACUAC